rnacentral:lncRNA from 1 species
CAAAGUGCUGGGAUUACAGGCGUGAGCCACCGCACCUGGCCCAGUCAGGGUUUUCUACAAGAAUCACAAACAAUUCCAGUCAUUUUAAGUGGAAAGACAUGUAACACACAAAGUAAAAUAUUUUCAGGAUCUGUAGAAGGUCUAAGGAGUAGGUCUGAGAUUAGCCUCUUGGAAUCGCAUUACACUUCAAACAACACAGACUGGAGUAAUAGAGCUAUUCUCUCUGAGGCCACCACACUGGAACUAUGCUGGAAAUAAGGGGUUAAAACUGGCAUCUCUGCCACCACCACCUGUCAAUAUUCAGGAGCCUAUGUAACAGACGCUGGCUGGCUGCUGGAGGAACAUCAUAUUUCCAUGGACUUUCUUAUAAACGGCACCCUCCAAAACUUUCACAGAGACGGACUCUGCUCACUCCUGCAUUCCAAAUAUCUCAUGAGUUCAUCAAUACAGAAUUCUAGCAUCAAAAGAAUCUAGGAAGUGUAACUGAACUUUCCAAUCUUCCCAAAGAGAGAAAAGAUGCAAGGGAGACUGAGUGAACCAACAUAAAUAAUACAGCAGAAAUACCAUUAACAAUGCUAUGCAAAAAAAUUGUAUAUUUGAAAUCUUCUAAUAUUUCUUAUCUGUCAAUAUAGAAAUAUGGAUGUCAUAGAAAAGGCAUAAAUUAGAAUAGAAGUUUUGCAUAUAUAUUUCUAACCUGAGUGCUUAUUUAUAAUAUGGAAAUCGGUUUCUAGGACAAGGAAGAAAAGAGAAAUCGCUCUUUUAUUUAAUCAGGAAAGUUUAUGAAAGGCAGGAGAUUCUGAGACCUCUCCAUAAAGGAAAAGGAAGCUUCUUUGCAAACAAAGAAUAAUGAUUCACUUCAGCUCUAGAGAAAUGUAUGAAGGAAGGGAGGAAAAGAGUUGAAAUUCAGAAUAAGAGUGUGAUUCCAUUACCUGAAGAGGCAAAAGAGCAGGAGGAAAUUGGACAAUCUAGGCUACAUAAUGUUGAAGUGUACAGAAAAGGAAGCUGAGAUUGAAAUACUGGAGUGUGAUGAAUGAAACCCAGAGACCAAUGUCCCAAACAUAGCCCAGUCUGCAUCUCCCACAUGAAGGAACCCAAGGAAUGGUCACGUUUCCAUAUAUCCCCACUUAAGUGACAUGAGAUGGAUGGGUUUCCACAAGGAUCAGCUGGAGGAGUUUCACAUCCAUCUGGCAAAGCUGCAUGAAGAUAAGCCUCGUGUUUUCCAGGGAACUGCAUUGCUCUACAGAGGCAAUGCCGAAUUAUUCAAUUGCUUUAUGAAUAUUUCCUCCCAUUAACCUCUCUCUGAAAAUUUGCUGAUACGCAUUAAGUGUCUCUUAACCAAAAUGCUUGGAACCGGGAGUGUUUUGAAUUUUUUCAGAUUUUGGAAUAUUUGCAUAGACAUAAUGAGAACUCUUAGGGAUGGGACCCAAGUCUAAACGCAAAAUUCAUUACUGUUUCAUAUGUAUCCUAUACAUAUAGCCUCAAAGUAAUUUUAUAAAAUAUUUUAAAUAAUAUUGUGCAUAAAACAAAGUUUUGACUGUAUGUUGACUGUGAUCCGUCAUGUGAAAUCAGGUGUGGAAUUGUCCACUUGUGUUAUCAUGUUGGUGCUCAAAAAUUUCAUAUCUUGGAGCACUUCACAUUUCAGAUUUUUGGAUUAGGAAUGCUAAACCUAUAUUGCCCUGUGUCAUGGGUCCCUAACACAAUCCAUUUACUCUUUACUUAUUUAUUUAUUUAUUUUAAAAAUGUUUACUGAAUUCACACUAUGAGCAAGACAUUGUUUGGUACAAAAGACCAAAUUUGGUAAAACAAACAAACAAAAAACAUGCUCUUAUGGCUAAGAAAAAUAAGCGAGGAAUAAAAUGGAUCUUAAGAUGAGGAGGAUGAUGAAUGACAAAUGUCACAAUUAAUAUAUAGAAGGUACUGUCACUUCACCUAGGGAAACUGAGAAAGCUUCCUUAGCUUUGGAGCCAUGAAGGAUGGCUAACAUUUACACAGGCAUAGGUAUGAGUCUCAGUAGAGAGCCAAGAAGAGCAGGAGCCUGUUGUGAAAAGCAGUGAAUUACUUAUUUGGCUAGUGGGUAGGAGGCAGGAAAAGUAAACCUGAAGCCUUUGGGGAUGUUUGCAGGUAGCUGUAUCUAUUGCUGUUUGGUGCCCAGAGUAUAUGACUGUGUGGCGUCAUUUAAUAAUGCUUUAGUGGAACAUUUCAAAGUAGCCCCGCAUAAAAUCGUUCAGCGUAAGCCAGAUAAUCCUACCUAGUUUGAGAGGCAUUUCCAAACUAGACUCCUGGGCCAAUUUGCCAUAUUGCUACAUUGUGCUGGGGCUAGGAUCUGGGCCAAUAUGAAUCUAGCUUUCUUUAAACCAGUUAUUAUAUCUUUGCAUAGUAUGUGUUGCAUCCUGGGCUGAAACUGAGCCUUGGAGGGAGCCUAAAAGAGAGUGAAGAAUAGCAAGGUCUCUAAAGUCAGACUGCCUAACAUUUCAGUUCUGGCUGGAGACUCCAGAAUAAGUCACCAACUUUAUGCAAAUAUCACCUGUAAAAACAGGACAAUAACAGCACCUGUCUCAUGGAGUCAUUAUUAGAAAUCACUGAAGUGAGAGCUCAAUAGAUAUUACCUGUGAUGAUGACAUUUGAGAUGCUCAUGGAGUUAGUCUGUUCUCAACAUUGCUAUAAAGACAUACUGGAGACUGGGUAAUUUAUAAAGAAAAGAGGUUUAAUCAGCUCAUAGUUCUGCAGGCUGUACAGGCUUCUGUUUCUGGGUAGGCCUCAGGAAACUUACAAUCAUGGCAGAAGUUGAAAGGGAAGCAAGCCCAUCUUCAUAUGGCUGGCAGGAAGUGUGGGGAAGGUGCCUUUAAACACACUUUUAAACAAGCAGAUAUAAGGAAAAUUCUAUCACAAGAACAGCAAGGGGGAGGUCCACCCCCAUGAUUCGAUCACCUCCCACUGGGCCCCUCCUGCAACACUGGGAAUUACAAUUUGAUAUGAGAUUUGGAUGGGAACACAGAGUCAGACCAUAUCAUGAUGUAAGGUGCUGGUAGUUUGGCUGACAUUUCAAACAAAUCUGGCUCAGGCCUAGGGUUUGCAGAGUCACAUGGGCCUACUUGGGAAAUUACAAUAGCAGAGCAAACCUUCUAAAUACAUUUCACUUCCAGAAGCUGCACUUGGAUGAAAUACUGUCUCCUGAAGCUCUGAAAGUCCCUUUUCUGUGCUGCUCAAGGAAGCUCUAAAGACAGGUUGGUUCUGUGCUACUCCAAAUAGCUCCAAAGACAGGUUUGGAACAAUGACCCAUAAAAUGUCCAUACAUUUUAGGAUACUAAUGAAGAGCAAUACUGGUCCAAAGUUCAGUGGUCAGAGUAUGGGUGUGUUUGUUUUAUUUCAGAACAUCUGUAUAGCAUUUUCAUUGCUUAUACAAUAGCAGGUAUCUUCAGUAUUAUUUAAAUUGAACUUCUAAACCUUCUUUGACAACAUACCACGUAUCCAUUUAUACAUACACACUAAAAAUAAGAGGGUGCAUCCUUAAUUUUAAAUCAGUUGCAUAGAUUUCAUUGUAUAGAUAUAAUUAGUAAUUUUCCUGUUUAUUGGCAUCUCAGUUAUUUCCAGGCUUCUACUAGCAAUAUUAUCAUGAAUAAAUUGUAUGUAUGUUAAAAAAUAAUAAGCUCAUUCUUAGUCCUUGUUGAAAAAAUUUUGUGUUACUUUUAUGAGCAGGAUGCAAGACUCAGACAAACAAGGCCUAGGUAGCUCAUACUUUAUUCUUUUUGCAACAACUUUUGAAAGGCUUGGAAUAUUCUGGUUAUAGAUGAAAGAUGCUGUUAUUUGCUAUUUCUCUUCUUCUCCAAGUGAAGUUCUAAUGAAACCAUGUGUGGAAGAAAUAAAUCAUUGGAAGGUCAAGAAGCUUCAAAAACAAAGUUUGAACAAGUUCCUGGUAUUGUUGCUGAGUGUUAAAUAUUCUCAACUUAUCAUUUGCUCUUCUAGCUGCAGUUUUGCACAAGGAAGACAAGUGGGAGCAAUUAAAUCCUGCACCACUCCUCUUGAAUUCAAGGCUGAGCCAUUUGGACAAAGAAAAUUGGGGAACAGGAGCAAAGACCCUCACUGACUGUGUUCUUUUUUCCAUGAAUUAGAAGGAAAUUUAAGAAAAUCACUUUGAUCCUUUUUCUACCUGUAAUGUUAAAAACUGUAAAUAUUUUCUUUCAUUGAGAAUUCUGGGAUACAGUAGCAGACUUGGUAAAUUUUAAACCGAAAAAUUUAUCAGCGUUUAUUGCACGGACAAAGCAAUAAAAAAUUGCAUCAUCUAAGAUGCCAAGAAACCACAUGUGAUACAGUCCAAGGACAUCCAGAAUUCCCAUGGUCCUAUGCAGUAGCUUACAAACUUAACUCUUUUUGGAAAAUAUGGACAUACAAUAUGCUGACGGGCUUCCCAUUCAUUUUAAGUGUUUUUAGUGCAAGUCUCUCCACUCUAUGAUUUCUUGAUAAGUUCCUCAUAAUGAAAAUUCUUUUGUCAUUAUAUACCUUGUUAGUUCUGAUUCUUGUCCUUGGGAAUCAAAGAAUAUUAGGGUUAUAGGUGCAACAUCACUCAGUCAUUUAGGCAAAAGCCUUUCAUUUUAAAGAUUAAGAAAGUAAUCUCUGAGCACACGAAAAGACAGUGGAGCAUUGCACUUUCAUCUUCAUUUCACUCUUUUGCUUGCAAACUCCUUGAGGGUAGGAAUUUGUUUUACUCAUCAAUAAAUCUGCAGUAAUACAACGUGGAGAAUGCAGUUGGUGCACAAACAAUAUUGAAAGAUUGUAGAUAUCUCUGUCCAAAGUCACACAGCUGCCAGAACCAGUGGCUCACUGGGAUGAGUCUUGUGUCUACUGAUCACCCGUUAAGGAUGUUGCCUCUGAAUUAUUCCUCCAAGGGUUUUUUUCCCCCUGGGAUGAAGAAUAAAUAUCUGUUGUUUUCCUUAUCAUGUAAAAAAAGUGUAUAUGUUUCUGCAAAUACUAGCCAAAGCAUCCUACUUUAAAACUUCUCUUUAAAAUUCCGGGGAGUGUCACCUUGACAACAGGCACAGAAUCUUCC